CUCGGCCUCUCCUGUCUGGGUGCUCUCCGCAGGAAUCAGUAAUUAAAGCCCCUUGUUUCCAGGAGCAUAGGAUCUCGUGGGGAGGAUGACACUCACAGAACAGGGCCUUCCCUGGUGGCACAGUGGUUAAGAAUCCGCCUGCCAAUGCAGGAGACGUGGGUUCCAUCUCUGGUGCCGGAAGAUCCCACGUGCCUCGGAGCAACUAAGCCCGUGCGACGCAACUACUGAGCCUGCACUCUAGAGCCCGAGAGCCACAACUAUUGAGCCCAUGUGCCACAAGUACUGAAGCUCACGCACCUAGAGGCUGUGCUCUGCAACAAGAGAAGCCACAGCAGUGAGAAGCCCGCGCACCACAAGAAAGAGUAGCUCCCGUUCGCCACAACUAGAGAAAGCCUGCAUGCAUA